rnacentral:rRNA from 1 species
CAGUCGCCGCGGGAAUACGUAGGGUGCAAGCGUUAAUCGGAAUUACUGGGCGUAAAGCGUGCGCAGGUGGCUAUGCAAGACAGAUGUGAAAUCCCCGGGCUCAACCUGGGAACUGCAUUUGUGACUGCAUGGCUAGAGUACGGUAGAGGGGGAUGGAAUUCCGCGUGUAGCAGUGAAAUGCGUAGAUAUGCGGAGGAACACCGAUGGCGAAGGCAAUCCCCUGGACCUGUACUGACGCUCAUGCACGAAAGCGUGGGGAGCAAACAGGAUUAGAUACCCGAGUAGUCCCUGUCUCUUAUAA